UUUCGUUCAUAACUUAGCUCCUGGGAAAGCUAAGUUAGCUCCUCGUACUCUCAAGUGUGUCUUCCUUGGUUAUUCUCGUGCUCAGAAGGGCUAUCGUUGUUAUUCACCUGAUCUUCGUAGGUACCUUAUAUCAGCCGAUGUCACAUUUUUUGAGUCAAAACCUUUCUUUACCUCUUCUGACCAUUCUGACCAUCUUGAUAUAUCUGAGGUUUUACCUAUAUCGGCCUUUAGGGAGUCUACUAUAUCUCCUAAACCUUUCUUUACCUCUUCUGACCAUCUUGAUAUAUCUGAGGUUUUACCUAUACCGACCUUUAGGGAGUCUAUUAUAUCUCCUCCUUCACCUUCCGCUACAGAAGUCUUACCCAAUCCAAUCGUUGGAG
rnacentral:lncRNA from 1 species